rnacentral:lncRNA from 1 species
UUAAGAUCAACAGUUCAUUCAUUAGUUAUUGAGGUUUAAUUCUAUCAUAGAAAUUAUUAGAGUUUGGUUAGGGUUUGGUUAGGGUUUGAUUUAGGAUUAGGAUUUGGUUAGAGUUUAGUUAGGAUUUGAUUAGGAUUUGGUUAGAGUUUGGUUAAGAUUUGAUUAGGAUUUGAUUUGAGAUUAGGAUUUGGUUAGAGUUUGGUUAGGAUUUGAUUUAAGAUUAAGGUUUGGUUUAGGGUUUAGAUUAGGAUUUGGUUAGGAUUUGAUUUAGGACUAGGAUUUGAUUAGAGUUUGAUUUAGGAUUUAGGAUUUGAUUUAGGACUAGGAUUUGAUUAGAAUUUGAUUUAGAAUUUAGGAUUUGAUUUAGGAUUUAGGGUUUGAUUUAGAGUUUAAGGUUUGGUUAGGAUUUGAUGAGGAUUUGAUUUAAAUUUUAGAAUUUUAUUUGAAUUUGUUUAGGAUUUAAGAUUUAGUUAGUUUUUGGCUUAAAAUUUGAAUGAAGUCCAAUAAGAUUUCAACUAGGAUUAAAUUAAGAUUGAAUUGAGAUGUAUUUGAGAUAUGUUUGUAAUCAUUCAAAUAUUUCUUUAAGAUUUUUUAUUAUUUCUUUGGAAUUCCUUUGAGGUUUUUUUGAAUUUGAUUAAAGCUUAUUUAGCAUUAUUAGUGUUCUAUUAGAAUUAAGAUUUUGUUGUUGCAAUUUCUAUUUUACCUUCUACAUCCAGGUGUCCAGAGCAUUCUCAUGUAAGACUUUACGUAGUACGACAACGAUGCAUUGUAGGAACCUACAUAGAACCUCAUCCAUUGCCAAG